rnacentral:rRNA from 1 species
GACGUAGGGGGCGAGCGUUACCCCGGAAUCACUGGGCGUAAAGGGUGUGUAGGCGGCUUCAUCAGUCGUGGGUGCAAGCCAUGGGCUCAACCCAAGGAACGCUCACGAGACGGUGAGGCUUGAGGGCAGCAGAGGCGGGUGGAAUUCCCGGAGUAGCGGUGGAAUGCGUAGAGAUCGGGAGGAACGCCAGAGGCGUAAGCGACCCGCUGGGCUGUUCCUGACGCUGAGGCACGAAAGCGUGGGGAGCAAACAGGAUUAGAAACCCCCGU